CGGAAUUAAGUUCGAGAAAUAAGAAUUUAGAUCGAAGCGGGUCUAUUAAAAUGAUCGUGAAAUAAUAAAUUAAGUGGAAUUUAUUAUUUGAUAAAUUGGAAUUUAGCGGGACUAAGAAAAGUAGAUAAAUUAAAAUAAAAUAAAUGGUAAGUCCCGAGUUAAUUUUACGAUAAAGUUCGUAAAAUAAAUUUAUGGAUCAAAGAUCAAAUUUUGUAAAAAUUGGACGAAAGGAUUUUAAUUAAAUGGAAUUUGAUUAUCGGAAAAGGAAAAGGAUAUAAAUAAAUUAUUUGGACCCAGAUAAAUAAAUAAUGUGAUGAAACCCAUUAUUUAUCGAUAAAGAAUAAUCGUCAAGGUUCCGUGUAAUUAUGAAAUCAAUUUGGUUAAAUUGGAGAAAUUGAAAGCCUAAGAGUUAAGUUGGAAGAGGUGCCUAAUUUAGGCACUUGAAUAUGAUUUUUCCACAAACUUAAUAAGAAAAGGACACCUCAUACCCCACCCCUUCAAUUUCUAUUGCUAUCUAAAACUAGAAAAUGAAAACUUAAAACAAAACCCUCAUGUUGGAAGGUCACCGCCAUCACCAUCAUCUUCCUCCCUUCCUUCUUGUUCCUCAUGAACAACUCACACGGCGGCGUCAAUAUCUUCACGAAUUGAUCAUCGAUUUCAGCGAUUAAGGUCCGGUUGGAAAGCCAACACGCUAAGGAACAAGACUCGACGAGACGACUAUUAAGGGGGCGCAAAACGUAAAGAACGCAACAGGGCUUUGCUAUGGCCGAAGUCUUUGGAUAGCAAUUUUGUUAUGUUUCAGGUGUAUAGUAUCGAAUGUAACGGACUUCUAUCCUUGUUCCAGAAGUCCGCGAGUACAGAAAGAAGGAACCAAUCAGUAGUGCUGCAGUAGUCGAGUCCUAGAGUGUAAUUAUGUUUUAUCAAACGGUUUUAAAUAUCUUGUUUAUACUCUGAUAUGUAUAAAGGUUUUAGACUGCACUUUUAACCGUUUAUAUAUAUAUAUAUAUGAGAAACAGGGCAUUGCUUGAUAUGGGAUAUCGCUUUGUAAGACCCUGAUUUCUAAAGAUCGUUUUGUAUCGUUUACUGAAGUUUUAUAAAAACAUUUUGUUAA